rnacentral:rRNA from 1 species
GGCUCAGGAUGAACGCUGGCGGCGUGCCUAAUACAUGCAAGUCGAGCGGUAACACUUCGGGUGACGAGCGGCGGACGGCUGAGUAACGCGUAGGAACGUACCCCAAACUGAGGGAUAAGCACCAGAAAUGGUGUCUAAUACCGCAUAUUAUCUUCGGAUCAAAGCUUCGGCGGUUUGGGAACGGCCUGCGUAUGAUUAGCUUGUUGGUGAGGUAAAAGCUCACCAAGGCGACGAUCAUUAGCUGGUCUGAGAGGAUGAUCAGCCAGACUGGGACUGAGACACGGCCCAGACUCCUACGGGAGGCAGCAGUAGGGAAUUUUCCACAAUGGGCGAAAGCCUGAUGGAGCAACGCCGCGUGCAGGAUGAAGGCCUUCGGGUUGUAAACUGCUUUUAUAUGUGAAGAAUUUGACGGUAGCAUAUGAAUAAGGAUCGGCUAACUCCGUGCCAGCAGCCGCGGUCAUACGGAGGAUCCAAGCGUUAUCCGGAAUUACUGGGCGUAAAGAGUUGCGUAGGUGGCAUCGUAAGUCGGUAGUGAAAGCGUGAGGCUCAACCUCAUAGACAUUAUCGAAACUGCGAAGCUAGAGGACAAGAGAGGUCACUGGAAUUCCUAGUGUAGGAGUGAAAUCCGUAGAUAUUAGGAGGAACACCGAUGGCGUAGCAGGUGACUGGCUUGUUCCUGACA